UACGUAGGGUGCGAGCGUUGUCCGGAUUUAUUGGGCGUAAAGAGCUCGUAGGCGGUUUGUCGCGUCGGCCGUGAAAACUCGGGGCUUAACCCCGGGCCUGCAGUGGGUACGGGCAGACUAGAGUGCGGUAGGGGAGACUGGAAUUCCUGGUGUAGCGGUGAAAUGCGCAGAUAUCAGGAGGAACACCGGUGGCGAAGGCGGGUCUCUGGGCCGUAACUGACGCUGAGGAGCGAAAGCGUGGGGAGCGAACAGG
rnacentral:rRNA from 1 species